GAAAUAAGGACAGUACUACUUCUUGCACACCAACGGAAUAUACAGACAAUAAAGAUUCAAAGACAGCUGCCUUCCCAAACUUGGCUUUGACUCCUUUACCUAUUGUGGUGCUCACGGUCAGCUAAAGUCACCAGCUGGAGAAGGUAAUCCACAUUGCAGAAGCCAAGAACCAGUAAAUCAAUCUUUGGAAGGUAGAAAUAUUUUCCAAACCAUAAAGAAACAUGAAUUUCACUGUUGUACAAGAGGAGUUUUUAGAGGAGUGGCAUAAAUUCAACGAGUGGACUAGGGAGUGGUAUCCUCUGAGGAAGCGCCUUUCAGAACAAGUAUCCCUGUGACUAACACCUCUGACUAGUUUUACAGAAAGAGACAGAUGUGACCAGAUGCCUUUUAUGAGUAAAACCCACUGAGGAGUGGGAAGCCUCAUCUGCUUUAAUUGUGCCCACUUGGCUCCUUCUUGUCAAUGAAUCACUUUCCCUUAUCAAACUUGUUUCGGCUUUCAGGGGACUUGACCUUUCUGAAUUAUACACAGAGCUCUUGUGUAACAGCCCUUAUAUCAGUGUGUUUACCAUCUGUUCUCCCUUUUCAAAUGCAGACAUGUGUUACUGUUUAUCCACUAUGUGUCACCAGUUUACUACAACAAAUUCAGUCAAGUGGAAAUCAGGUCAAGGUGAAAUUUAUUUCAGGCGCUUUUGUUCCACUUCAUUUUACAGCUUGCCACAUGCUAAUCAUAUGAAUUCUGAACAAGGAUCAAAAAAAUAAAUAAAAUUAUGUUCUGGCUUCUGACUGACAUUUUCAAUGGAUUGUUUCAUUCACCUUUUGGAAAACCUCAUACUGUACUUGGCUUCACUGAAAAAUGUAGCUGCUGGAAAGUUUUAGCAGAUUGUUGGACAACAUGGAGGGCCAAAGCUGCACCCUUAAUGCAAAACCACAAAAAACAAAGGAGGGUUGUUUUCAUUUCCUCCUGCCUUCCGCUGGAAGACAUCAGACCUUCCCAAGAGGCCAACUUCAGAAACUGAAAGCCAGAUGACCUACAACAGAGAGACCUAUGGUGCUGUUCUUCUUUUUAUAUUUAUUCAACUUCUCCUGCAUGCAAAAACUACAUAGAAGAAUGAAGGAGAAAUGUUUUUUAAUUAUUCCAUUUAAUCACAGGCAGAAGCUAUGCUAUGAGAUUGACUUUAUUUUAUUGUACAUGAUGACUUCUGCAAAUGAUCCAAUAUUAAUGCAAGUAGACAGGAAACAAAGGCAACCAGCAGGUCAAAAGUACAGUAGACUUGCUAUGCCUGUCUGCAUAGCUUGUCCUCAGCACAGAAGACAGGGAACUGUGCAACACUGGCAAAAAAGCGAUAGGAAGAAGCCAGCCCUCAAGUAUGACCAUGAAGCAGCCCAUCAAAAUGUUAUAACUAAACUUUCAAGAGUUUGAAAUAAAUGUUUAUAAUAGUU